rnacentral:rRNA from 1 species
AUUGAACGCUGGCGGCAGGCCUAACACAUGCAAGUCGAACGGUAACAGGAAGAAGCUUGCUUCUUUGCUGACGAGUGGCGGGCGGGUGAGUAAUGUCUGGGAAACUGCCUGAUGGAGGGGGAUAACUACUGGAAACGGUAGCUAAUACCGCAUAACGUCGCAAGACCAAAGAGGGGGACCUUCGGGCCUCUUGCCAUCGGAUGUGCCCCGGUGGGAUUAGCUAGUAGGUGGGGUAACGGCUCACCUAGGCGACGAUCCCUAGCUGGUCUGAGAGGAUGACCAGCCACACUGGAACUGAGACACGGUCCAGACUCCUACGGGAGGCAGCAGUGGGGAAUAUUGCACAAUGGGCGCAAGCCUGAUGCAGCCAUGCCGCGUGUAUGAAGAAGGCCUUCGGGUUGUAAAGUACUUUCAGCGGGGAGGAAGGGAGUAAAGUUAAUACCUUUGCUCAUUGACGUUACCCGAAGAAGAAGCACCGGCUAACUCCGUG